rnacentral:rRNA from 1 species
UUGAUCAUGGCUCAGGAUGAACGCUAGCGGCAGGCUUAAUACAUGCAAGUCGAGGGGCAGCAGCUUUAUAGCAAUAUAGAGGCUGGCGACCGGCAAACGGGUGCGGAACACGUACACAACCUUCCUUUAAGUGGGGGAUAGCCCAUAGAAAUGUGGAUUAAUACCCCGUAAUAUUAUUGAAGUGGCAUCACUUUAUAAUUAUAGUUUCGACGCUUGAAGAUGGGUGUGCGGCUGAUUAGGUAGUUGGCGGGGUAAAGGCCCACCAAGCCUUCGAUCAGUAGCUGAUGUGAGAGCAUGAUCAGCCACACGGGCACUGAGACACGGGCCCGACUCCUACGGGAGGCAGCAGUAAGGAAUAUUGGUCAAUGGACGCAAGUCUGAACCAGCCAUGCCGCGUGAAGGAUGAAGGUCCUCUGGACUGUAAACUUUCUUUUAUAGGGGGCGAAAAAGGGAAUUCUUUCUCACUUGACAGUACCCUAUGAAUAAACACCGGCUAACUCCGUGCCAGCAGCCGCGGUAAUACGGAGGGUGCAAGCGUUAUCCGGAUUCACUGGGUUUAAAGGGUGCGUAGCGGAUAGGUAAGUCAGGGUGAAAUCUGGAGCUUAACUCCAGAACUG